GGCUCGGGUUCCGCGCUGCCGGCAGGGCUUGGGGGCGCCUUAGAGCCGAACCCCGUUUUUUCAGGAAAGGGCGCUGCGACCACCCCCGUCCCGGGCCUCAGCCCCUCUGCUGCAGACCCUCGGGAUCGUCGCUGGAAAGAUUCUGAAGCUUGGCGGAGAGGGGUGUGUGAGUGGACACCAGUGAAGUAACGGUUUUUGUGUUACGAUGAUUUCUGUUUUCCUCUGCUGCCCUGUAAUGGCAGGAACUCGGAUAGUCUGGUCUUCAGACCAGGAGGACUCCCAGGAGAGAACGGAGAGCCAGUGUGCUGUGUGUCACGGUCCCUGGAUGAACGUUUGUGGAACUGGAUUGAAUUAAACAAGACGUGCAAAGCAAGUGGUUCACGAGGGUCUUGCUCCGUCGCCCAGUCUGGAGUGCAGUGGCAAGAUCUCUGCUCAGUGCAGCCUUGAACUCUCAGGCUCAAGAAAUCUUCCCGCCUCAGCCUCCCAAAGUGCUGGGAUUACAGAUUCGAUUGCUGUAGGGACCCCGUGGGUGUGGAAUCAGACAGUAUUGGUCCUUUCAUGACUGGCUUAUUU
rnacentral:lncRNA from 10 species